rnacentral:rRNA from 1 species
CCUACGGGAGGCAGCAGUGGGGAAUAUUGCGCAAUGGGCGAAAGCCUGACGCAGCGACGCCGCGUGAGGGAUGAAGGUCUUCGGAUCGUAAACCUCUGUCAGCAGGGAAGAACGGUCACUGUGCUAAUCAGCAGUUAAUUGACGGUACCUGCAAAGGAAGCACCGGCUAACUCCGUGCCAGCAGCCGCGGUAAUACGGAGGGUGCGAGCGUUAAUCGGAAUUACUGGGCGUAAAGCGCUCGUAGGCGGUAUGUCAAGUCAAGGGUGAAAUCCCCGCGCUCAACGUGGGAACUGCCUUUGAAACUGGCAAACUGGAGUGUGUGCGAGGAUAGUGGAAUUCCAGGUGUAGGAGUGAAAUCCGUAGAUAUCUGGAGGAACAUCAGUGGCGAAGGCGACUGUCUGGCACAUAACUGACGCUGAGGAGCGAAAGCGUGGGUAGCAAACAGGAUUAGAUACCCGGGUAGUC